rnacentral:lncRNA from 1 species
CUUUAAGCUUAAAAGUUUUUAUUUAAAAAUAUGAUUAAAGAAUCAUAGUCAUUCAAAAAGGGGGAGAGUCAUUAGUAUUUGAACUCAAGCUAAUUUUUGAAAAAGAGAUGAUGUUUUAAGCAUAUUUUAAAUCAAAAGACAAAUUUUUAAAGGAGAGAUGAUUCAUUUGAAUUAAUUUUCGAAAUUUGAUACAUCUCUUAUUUUGAUAUAUUCUUGAAUUCAAUCCUUCCCAUGAGCUUUUUGAUGAUAUUUCUUAAUCCUUCACAUGAGCUUUUUGAUGCUAUCAAAAAGGAGGAAAGUGAUAUUGAGUAUAUGCUUAAAGGAUUAAUGCUUAAGAAACUUAAUAAAUUAAUGCUCAAGAUAAAAUCUUAAUGCUCAUUGAUUUGAAUAGAGAUAAUUAUAUAAAAUGAGUAUCAAAUAUUCUUAGAGUGAUCGUUGAGUCGACUG